GAUCUCCUACAUUAUGGUCGCAUCCGAUUCUACAUCUACUCAGUUAUAAGAUCUUCUCGAAAUCAAACACCAUAUAGCGGCACAGAGUACACCACCAGUCCCACCCCUACCUCAGGUCUCACCACAUCAGCUAAAGUGUUUUACCCCAUCAGUGGAGCAAGUAAGGACUUAAACCAAGUAGUUAAAUAUUGAAGAAACAAUACAGCAAAAUAAAAAGAGUCCCAGAGAGAUAAUGACACUUUCUCUUUGACUUUGUGGAUGACACGCCAAAAUCAUCACCCUGGUAGUGGGUUUUACAUUUUAUGACGGAUUUUAUUACAUUUUUUUUAUUGAAUAAUUUGAUCAGCAUGUUCUCAAAAUGUGGGCUUGUGGGUGAUGGGUUUAGAGUGUUUGAUGAAAUGCCUGACAGAAACCUCGUCACUUGGACUUUGAUGAUCUCGGCUGCUGUCCAAGAUGGUCAAUUUGAAUGGGGAUUGGAAAUUUAUUUGGGAUUAAUAAGAAGUGGGUUGAGGCCGAAUGAAUUCACUAUUGUCAGUGUUCUCAAGGGGUAUGCAGAGUGUGCUAGUACCAUACCAAAGCAUAUGAAUUUGGCAUGAGUGUUCAUUGUUUUGCUUUGAAAGUUGGGAUUGAACAUAAUUGCUAUGUGGGUGGUUCUAUUUUGAACAUGUAACUGGAUGAUAUUGAAUCGGCUAAAGGGGUGUUUGAAUCUAUGACCAAUCUUGAUACUGCUGGUUGGAAUACUAUGAUUGGAGGGUAUGCUCAAGCGGCUAUGGCCUUGAAGCCUUGAAGCCUUGAAGGAAUGCCUUAUACUCCUUGGCCCGCUAUAUUGAGGUCCUUGCUUAGUGGUUGUCGGAUACAUGGGAACAUAGAGUUCGGAGAAUGGACUGCAAAGAAGUUAGUUCCAGAAAAUGAUGUACCUUUUGUACUAUUGUCAAAGGUUUACUCUGAAGGAGGUAGUUGGGAAGAUGCUACAAAGAUAAGGAGGGAAAUGAUGGAAAGAGGUCUGCCAAAAAAUACUGGAUAUAGUUGGAUCGAGGUAUAGCCAGAAACCAAUUGGACAGAAAUGUGGAACCGGGCCAUGAAAAAUGUUCUUGGCAACGAGUGAUGAAGCAGAACUUGAUGGUCCUCAUCCCACUUCAGGUGUGAGCACUAAAAGAGCAGUAGCAAAAGCAAACGACCAACCAACAACGCAAAGUUUGCACCUGAAAGGAGUCGGGGACUGGUCGAACUAAGUUAACAGGAGGAACCAACAACGCAAAGUUUGCACCUGAAAAUCUUUAUGCUCCUCUGCUAUCAGCCAAAUGUUACUGAUGCAAUCAAUCUGGUCAUGGUUCUAAUGUGUUAAGAAACAAAAUUGAUUCAGAUAGAAGAGGAUCUGAACAUGCAGGAGGAUGAGGUAAAGUAGCCUAGGAGGGUGAUUAAUAAUUAUUUGACAAGAAAACAGUCACAAAUAAAAACAAUCACCACACAUUGCAGAAGGCUACUUACAACAAAACAGUCACCCUAAUAUCUUUAGGUUUGGCUCAAGAACCAGGAAAUUUAAACAGCAAACAGUCAAAUGUUUCGUGCAAUUAUGCAAAGCGUUAUAAGCUUAAUGCAAAAGCCUGUAGGUGUUGCUGAGUGUGGCUCUUGCUACUCGUCCAAUUGUGUGAUAAGCAUUGCAUUGAGGCUUCUAUAUGGCCUUGACUUAAAGAGUCUCUCAAAGUACGAAAUCUUCAGUCCCUUUUCCCUUGCCAUGUCUGCACGAACCCAAC